rnacentral:rRNA from 1 species
GAAAGGCGCUUUCGGGUGUCGCUGAUGGAUGGACCCGCGGUGCAUUAGCUAGUUGGUGAGGUAACGGCUCACCAAGGCGACGAUGCAUAGCCGACCUGAGAGGGUGAUCGGCCACAUUGGGACUGAGACACGGCCCAAACUCCUACGGGAGGCAGCAGUAGGGAAUCUUCGGCAAUGGACGAAAGUCUGACCGAGCAACGCCGCGUGAGUGAAGAAGGUUUUCGGAUCGUAAAACUCUGUUGUUAGAGAAGAACAAGGAUGAGAGUAACUGUUCAUCCCUUGACGGUAUCUAACCAGAAAGCCACGGCUAACUACGUGCCAGCAGCCGCGGUAAUACGUAGGUGGCAAGCGUUGUCCGGAUUUAUUGGGCGUAAAGCGAGCGCAGGCGGUUUCUUAAGUCUGAUGUGAAAGCCCCCGGCUCAACCGGGGAGGGUCAUUGGAAACUGGGAGACUUGAGUGCAGAAGAGGAGAGUGGAAUUCCAUGUGUAGCGGUGAAAUGCGUAGAUAUAUGGAGGAACACCAGUGGCGAAGGCGGCUCUCUGGUCUGUAACUGACGCUGAGGCUCGAAAGCGUGGGGAGCAAACAGGAUUAGAUACCCUGGUAGUCCACGCCGUAAACGAUGAGUGCUAAGUGUUGGAGGGUUUCCGCCCUUCA